UCCGGUGUAAAUUACAUUCAUUUCAAUCUCUCUCUUCUCCCGAUGAUACUUUCUUUGUUUCGGCCAUUUCUUUCUCGUUCGUUGUCCUUCGCUUUCCUUAUCUGCAACUCCUCAAAUUUAAACCAUUGAAACCCUCUUUCUCAUUCUUCUAACGAAGGUCAGGUCCAUCGAUUUGUUCUGCCGCGUCCACUCCUUCGAAGUCGCAGCAUUCCUACACUAUCACUCUCCUUCCUAGCGACGGUAUUGGCGCCGAAGUCAUCUCUGUCGCCAAAGACGUUCUUCUCCUUGCCGGUUAUCUCAAAGUAUGGAUGCUGAUUUCACCAAUUGUGAGAGAGAACAAAGUAAGCAAACUGCUGAGCACAUUUCUUAAAGAUUUUUCUUUUCUUUUCUUUAAAAGGGCAACUGUUCGUGAUGAAUUCAAUUCGGGCACCACGAUCUGGUUCAGGAGUAGCUACAAAGUCAUCACCAGGAGUCAUUAGAGUAGCUGUCCCUAACGAUUGCCACCAACAAUCGCAAGUGAAUGGCAUCAACACGAUCAUCUUCCCCACCUGUUGUCCACUGUCAGAGGCCACAGAAGAGCUCCCGUACGACUAGGAGAGCAAAUUUCGUGUCCACUGUGUCAAGUAUUGAUGAUUCCCCUGCAUUGCAUUCUGUAUCAGAUGUGUCUGAGAUGAUCAUCCAGAGAGUUUUCUGUCAUCCAUGCAAACUAUAAUGGCUAUUCUUUUAGAAGAAAGUGAGGAUGUAAAUCCAGAUCUUUUGUCUAUUUUAUUGUCUACACUAGGCCGUGACAGAAGAAUGAGAUGUUUAUGGGGCUGCGAGGAAGCUUUCCACGAGUAUUGUACAACAAUGCGUGGAAAAACUUGAACCGAGUAUCAAACAAUUUUCACAAUCAUUAAUAUCACGAGACAGUCAGGAAAUGAAAAGUCAAGUUCAAUACGAUGCAAUUAUCUAUUGUUGUGCUCCUUAGAUCCUAUAUGAAGUUUUUUCCUUUUGCGUAAUUAUUUUAUGUGUAAUAUGUUAAGUAAUUAGGUAAACAUAUAGGAAUUUUGUUAGGUAAAUAUUACAUUCGGUUUGGAACUAUUUUGAUGUGUUAAUAAUAAAAAAAUAUUUAUUA